UGCAUUGGCCGGGAAUCGAACCCGGGCCGCCCGCAUGGCAGGCGAGCAUUCUACCACUAAGCCACCGAUGC
rnacentral:tRNA from 1 species